UGCCUGGCGGCACUAGCGCGGUGGUCCCACCUGACCCAUGCCGAACUCAGAAGUGAAACGCCGUAGCGCCGAUGGUAGUGUGGGGUCUCCCCAUGUGAGAGUAGGGAACUGCCAGGCAU
rnacentral:rRNA from 1 species